rnacentral:lncRNA from 1 species
GAUUGCGUCAUCUUCUCAGCUCAAGAUGCACCUUCAUUCCUUCCUGCCUUUGCUCAGGGAGCAUUGUAGAAGAGGAGGCAGAAAGGAGUUCCUGUGAGAUGAUGAGUCUUAGACAUGAGAUAGAAGCUACUAUUACAAAAAACAUGGCUGCCUAGGCAAGACUUCUUGGAGAGAAGUACAGUGUCAAGAGACAAGCUGAGACAGAAGAGAGAAAUCUCAUGAGGCAUUACCCAUAGACAAAGGAUUCCAGAUGCAGAAACAGAGGAGCCAGCUGUCUAUGUGUGGAAACUUUUGAAGAUGUGAGUUACAAUAAAUCAUUCCUCCCA